rnacentral:lncRNA from 1 species
AAUAUGUCUAAAUCUCUUAAGUUUGUAUAUGUUACGAUUAUUUUUCUUUUCUUAUUCAUCAAAAGUUCGUGUUAUGUUGGUAAGUCUAAAUUUUUAAUUUUUAUUCUUUAAUUUAUUUAUUUAUUUUAUACACAAUUUUUCAUUCUUUAUUAUUAAUAUUAAUUUUUCUUAUUUGAUAUUAAAGGAUUGGAUUUAUGCAGUUCUGAUAAAGAUUGUCGUCAUACUACUUGUUCGUUUCGUAAAAUUGCAAAGUGCAUAAAGCACAUUUGCGAAUGUGUGAAUGUGUAUAAAUGAAGAUAAUACUUCUAACACAGAUGUGAUAGUUGUGUUAAUAAAUGACGAUAUUUUUAUGAUUUAAUUAUUGGAUUUAUUUAUUUAUUUUUAAUGAUUUUUAUAGUAUAAUAUAAUUUUGUGUUAAAAAAAUAUAAAAGGAUUUUUAUACAAAUUUUAAAUAAAGUUUUUGUUUAAAC